UUCUGGGUUAUAUGGUUGUGUGGAAUGGCCUUCUCUUUUUAUAAACCCACUCGCAGCAUCCUCCACUUUGCUCUGCAGAACCACCUCUGACAGGUUAAAACGUGAAGCCUCUUUUUCUGAAUACAUACCCCGGCAUGCAACACUCUCCAAAAGGCAUCAAGCGCCCCAAGACUACAAGUCCCGUGAUGCUUUGGGGCAAAGGAGCCGGCUCUCUCAGCCUCCCUUCUGCCGCAUUGCCUCUUUGGGAGACGUCGUUCUUUGGCGCGACGGAGCUUGACGCAUGCGCCGUGAUCGGGAGAGGCAGUUCCUGUCUGUAGGCUUGGCCGAGGCAAUAAAGUUUCUGCUGUGCGGAGGAAAGGAAGGGAAAGCUCGGAGGGGGAAGGAACGCAGGGGCGGCAGGGCCGGUUUCCUGGCAGGAAUUUCCCGGGGUUUGAGUGAUGUAAUGUUCAAGUUUAGAAAUGCCUUAUGUGGAUCGUCAAAAUCGUAUUUGUGGUUUUCUCGAUAUUGAAGAAAAUGAAAACAGUGGAAAAUUUCUGCGGAGAUAUUUUAUACUGGACACAAAAGAAGACAAUUUGGUGUGGUACAUGGAUAAUCCACAGGUACUCUAAUCUGAGAUUACUUCUCCUUUUCGCCAUCGAAUUCAAAAGCUCGUAUGUUAAAUUUAGCUUUUAAAAGCUGGGCAGGUCUUUUCAAAAAUUGAUUUGUAAUCCUUGCAUUACAUAUUUGAUUGUUUUAUAUAUUUUAUUAGAGUUGUGGGGCAAAGGGGGAAUUUAUUUUCAUAGUUGACGUAUUUAUCAUUGGAAAUUUGGAUACAUUAUGCUGUCUACCUGGACACAUUUUUUGAAAGGCCAUUUAAAAUUAUUGAAACUCACCUCCAAAUAAAUGUAUUAUCUGGAUAAAUGGUCAUAUCUGAUCAUAUUCUUGCUGCACGUGUCUAC
rnacentral:lncRNA from 11 species